rnacentral:tRNA from 1 species
UGCGAGAGUGGCGAAAUUGGCAUACGCACUAGACUUAGGAUCUAGCGUCUUCGACAUGAGGGUUCGAGUCCCUCCUCUCGCACCAU